UGCAGCUGUGAGAGCUUCAUUAUUUGCUUUUGAGCUGCAGCAUUCUGAGGGAGGAGACGCAAGAGUGGAGGGGGUGGGGGGCGAGGACAACUAGGGACAGUUGGACCGGGAGCCAAAUUCCCCACUGCUGAACCUAAUUACACACAGGCCACAGAAACCGACAUCCAAACUGGAAGUCUGUGGAGUCUGCAGGUCUGGAAAAACUGGAGGGCGACAACCAGGAAGCCAGCCCGUGACUGGACUCUCUUCUGGCCAUAUAUAGAACUAACAAUGUAAGCCCUGGAAUCUUGGGAUUGGAGGAAAUCACAUGGGCCACUGAGUCCUCUCACCAGGUACUUUCAGAUGCCAACAGAUGCCAACCCACCAAGAGAUGUUCUGGAAGGUAUCAUUCAUCCUGCAUCCAAAGACACAGAGAGCACUGGUCCAGGAGCCAGAAUACCGUGGUUCUGGUUCAGUUACGCAACUACUGUGGGCAAGCAGACUCUUCAAGCCCUGGAUUCUCAGCUACUGUUCCCUCCUAACAAAUGUGGGUUAAAUUAAAGAAUACAUUUGAAACGUCUUUAUAAAC
rnacentral:lncRNA from 1 species